ACUCUUUUAGUAUAAGCAGUACUGUUAACUUCCAAUUAACCAGCUUCGAUGAUACUCGAAAAAGAGUA
rnacentral:tRNA from 4 species